CUAGUAACGGCCGAGUGAAGCGGGAAGAGCUCAAAUUUGAAAUCUGGUAGCCUUCGGUUGCCCGAGUUGUAAUCUAGAGAAGUGUUUUCCGUGCCGGCCCAUGUACAAGUCCCUUGGAACAGGGCGUCAUAGAGGGUGAGAAUCCCGUCCUUGACAUGGACCCCCGGUGCUUUGUGAUACACUUUCAACGAGUCGAGUUGUUUGGGAAUGCAGCUCAAAAUGGGUGGUGAAUUCCAUCUAAAGCUAAAUAUUGGCGAGAGACCGAUAGCGAACAAGUACCGUGAGGGAAAGAUGAAAAGCACUUUGGAAAGAGAGUUAAACAGUACGUGAAAUUGUUGAAAGGGAAACGAUUGAAGUCAGUCAUGCUCUUAGGAUUCAGCCGUUCUGCGGUGUAUUUCCUUUGAGUGGGGUCAACAUCAGUUUUGAUCGAUGGAUAAAGGCACGAGGAAGGUAGCACUCUCGGGUGAACUUAUAGCCUCGCGUCAUAUACAUUGAUUGGGACUGAGGAACGCAGCAUGCCUUUAUGGCCGGGAUUCGUCCACGUACAUGCUUAGGAUGUUGACAUAAUGGCUUUAAACGAC
rnacentral:rRNA from 1 species